rnacentral:rRNA from 1 species
AGACAGGUGGCUGCGAUGGCUGUGUCAGCUCGUGUCGUGAGAUGUUGGGUUAAGUCCCGCAACGAGCGCAACCCUUGCCUUUAGUUGCCAGCAGUUCGGCUGGGCACUCUAAAGGGACUGCCGGUGUUAAACCGGAGGAAGGUGGGGAUGACGUCAAGUCCUCAUGGCCUUUAUGACCAGGGCUACACACGUACUACAAUGGCCGAUACAAAGGGCAGCGACACUGCGAGGUGAAGCCAAUCCCGUAAAAUCGGUCUCAGUCCGGAUUGGAGUCUGCAACUCGACUCCAUGAAGUUGGAAUCGCUAGUAAUCGUGGAUCAGCAUGCCACGGUGAAUACGUUCCCGGGCCUU